rnacentral:rRNA from 1 species
GACAGAGGGUGCAAACGUUGUUCGGAAUUACUGGGCGUAAAGGGCGCGUAGGCGGCCUGUUAAGUCGAACGUGAAAUCCCCGGGCUCAACCCGGGAACUGCGUCCGAAACUGGCAGGCUUGAAUCCGGGAGAGGGAUGUGGAAUUCCAGGUGUAGCGGUGAAAUGCGUAGAUAUCUGGAGGAACAUCGGUGGCGAAGGCGACAUCCUGGACCGGUAUUGACGCUGAGGCGCGAAAGCCAGGGGAGCAAACGGG